CCUACGGGAGGCUGCAGUGGGGAAUAUUGGGCAAUGGGCGCAAGCCUGACCCAGCAACGCCGCGUGCAGGAAGACGGCUUUCGGAUUGUAAACUUCUUUUCUGAGGGACGAAGAAAGUGACAGUACCUCAGGACUAAGCCACGGCUAACUACGUGCCAGCAGCCGCGGUAAUACGUAGGUGGCAAGCGUUAUGCGGAUUUAUUGGGUGUAAAGGGCGUGUAGGCGGGAAAGCAAGUCAGAUGUGAAAACUCAGGGCUCAACCCUGGGCCUGCAUUUGAAACUGUUUUUCUUGAGUGCUGGAGAGGCAAGCGGAAUUUCGUGUGUAGCGGUGAAAUGCGUAGAGAUACGGAGGAACACCAGUGGCGAAGGCGGCUUGCUGGACAGUAACUGACGCUGAGGCGCGAAAGCGUGGGGAGCAAACAGGAUUAGAUACCCCUGUAGUC
rnacentral:rRNA from 1 species